rnacentral:rRNA from 1 species
UACGUAGGGUGCGAGCGUUAAUCGGAAUUACUGGGCGUAAAGCGUGCGCAGGCGGUGCACCAAGCUCGAUGUGAAAGCCCCGGGCUUAACCUGGGAAUUGCAUUGAGGACUGGUGUGCUUGAGUGCGGUAGAGGGGGGUGGAAUUCCACGUGUAGCAGUGAAAUGCGUAGAGAUGUGGAGGAACACCGAUGGCGAAGGCAGCCCCCUGGGCCGACACUGACGCUCAUGCACGAAAGCGUGGGGAGCAAACAGG